rnacentral:misc_RNA from 1 species
AAUCAUCAAAAAGCCUUUUUCUUUGAACCUUUUUGGUCAGGGAAAAAGGAUUUUUGGACAUGGAGGUUCCAUGCUCGCUUUCAGCUUUGAAAGUGAGCUCCUCUCAAAUGAAUUAGUGGGGUCUGCUUUGCUGAUCCUUGACGUGAUAGAUGUUUCUACGUUUUGGAUUUAGCACUGCCCUUUGGACGCCUGCUCCUAACUGUCUCUUGGGACAUUGAUGGUGCUUCGGUCACCGCCGUCUAUCUACGUUGGUGGAAGGCUGGGCCCACAUUAAAC